GAUGAACGCUGGCGGCGUGCCUAAUACAUGCAAGUCGAGCGAACAGACGAGGAGCUUGCUCCUCUGACGUUAGCGGCGGACGGGUGAGUAACACGUGGAUAACCUACCUAUAAGACUGGGAUAACUUCGGGAAACCGGAGCUAAUACCGGAUAAUAUAUUGAACCGCAUGGUUCAAUAGUGAAAGACGGUUUUGCUGUCACUUAUAGAUGGAUCCGCGCCGCAUUAGCUAGUUGGUAAGGUAACGGCUUACCAAGGCAACGAUGCGUAGCCGACCUGAGAGGGUGGUCGGCCACACUGGAACUGAGACACGGUCCAGACUCCUACGGGAGGCAGCAGUAGGGAAUCUACCGCAAUGGGCGAAAGCCUGACGGAGCAACGCCGCGUGAGUGAUGAAGGUCUUCGGAUCGUAAAACUCUGUUAUUAGGGAAGAACAAAUGUGUAAGUAACUAUGCACGUCUUGACGGUACCUAAUCAGAAAGCCACGGCUAACUACGUG
rnacentral:rRNA from 1 species